CAUCCUAUAUGCGAUUGGCUUGUAGGGCAUUAUUCUUUUACCUACGACUGAAAAUAUUUUAGACUGGGGUAAUCAAAAUUUUAGAUUUCACUAGCAUAAUCUCAUCAUAGUUCUAAAAUCAUUGUCCUAAUCUAUGUGGUUCUUCAUAAUCAUAAUAUGUAUAGCAAAUGAUGAAACACAGUACCUCAUGAAUAUAAAAUAAACAACAUCAUGCACAUG
rnacentral:lncRNA from 1 species